AACGAACGCUGGCGGCGCGUCUUAAACAUGCAAGUCGAACGAUCUGUAGCAAUACAGGGAGUGGCGGACGGGUGAGGAACACGUAGGAAUCUACCUUGAAGAGCGGGACAACUUUGGGAAACCGGGGCUAAUACCGCAUAGUACAGAGAUGUUAAAGGGCUAGCAAUAGUCGCUUCGAGAUGAGCCUGCGGUCUAUCAGCUUGUUGGUGAGGUAAUGGCUCACCAAGGCUACGACGGAUAGCCGGUCUGAGAGGAUGAUCGGCCACACUGGCACUGAGACACGGGCCAGACUCCUACGGGAGGCAGCAGUUAAGAAUCUUGCGCAAUGGGGGAAACCCUGACGCAGCGACGCCGCGUGAAGGAUGAAGGCUUUCGGGUUGUAAACUUCGGUAGACUGGGAAGAAGAAUACGUUCGUUGAGGGCGUAUAGUGACGGUACCAGUCUGAAGCCCCGGCUAAUUACGUGCCAGCAGCCGCGGUAAU
rnacentral:rRNA from 1 species